rnacentral:lncRNA from 1 species
UGAAAGCCUGCCUCGAGCUAAAAAAAAAAAAAAGUAAAAAAGAGACUGGGUUUUGCAUUAUUUCCAUCUCCCCUUGCAUCAUCUGGAACAUGGUGAGGAGGAAUGCAGUGAACUCUGACCUCUGGACAUGGAGAACUCUGACCUCUGGACAUGGCAUGGGUAUUGUUCUUACGAAUUCACAGCAGCUAUAGUUACCCGCACAAGACCCAUAUAAGAAGAGUCCAGCCGAAAUUUCAGCGUGGAGGAGGGGAGGAGCUCCUGAGUCCAACUCUAAUUCCUGUCCAUUCUGAGAUUGCUGACAAUAUACACUGUGUGACAAGCUGGUCUCCAGCCCCUGCUGCCAUGCCUUCCCUUCAUUGCUGGGGUGAAUCUCCCAAAAGUGGAAGUCAGAUAAACACUUCUACCCUUUAAUUGACUCUUAUCAGGCAUUUUGUGGCAGCAACAAGGAAAGUGACCAAUAAAGCAAGUCAAGCCUA